rnacentral:rRNA from 1 species
UAGGGAAUCUUCGGCAAUGGGGGGAACCCUGACCGAGCAACGCCGCGUGAGUGAAGAAGGUUUUCGGAUCGUAAAGCUCUGUUGUUAAGGAAGAACGAGUGUGAGAAUGGAAAGUUCAUACUGUGACGGUACUUAACCAGAAAGGGACGGCUAACUACGUGCCAGCAGCCGCGGUAAUACGUAGGUCCCGAGCGUUGUCCGGAUUAAUUGGGCGUAAAGCGAGCGCAGGCGGUUAGAAAAGUCUGAAGUGAAAGGCAGUGGCUCAACCAUUGUAGGCUUUGGAAACUGUUUAACUUGAGUGCAGAAGGGGAGAGUGGAAUUCCAUGUGUAGCGGUGAAAUGCGUAGAUAUAUGGAGGAACACCGGUGGCGAAAGCGGCUCUCUGGUCUGUAACUGACGCAGAGGCUCGAAAGCGUGGGGAGCGAACAGG